UGGGGAAUAUUGCGCAAUGGGCGAAAGCCUGACGCAGCAACGCCGCGUGAGUGAUGAAGGCCUUCGGGUCGUAAAGCUCUGUCGGAGGGAACGAAUGCUCCUGAAGUUAACAGCCUCAGGAGGUGACGGUACCCUCAAAGGAAGCACCGGCUAACUCUGUGCCAGCAGCCGCGGUAAUACAGAGGGUGCAAGCGUUGUUCGGAAUCAUUGGGCGUAAAGGGCGUGUAGGCGGUAUGUUAAGUCAUGUGUGAAAUCCCUCGGCUUAACCUGGGAACUGCGUCUGAUACUGGAGGGCUUGAGUAUGGGAGAGGGAUGUAGAAUUCCAGGUGUAGCGGUGAAAUGCGUAGAUAUCUGGAGGAAUACCGGUGGCGAAGGCGGCAUCCUGGACCAUUACUGACGCUGAGGCGCGAAAGCUAGGGGAGCAAACGGGAUUAGAUACCCCCGUAGUCCCUGAGCGGGCUGGCAAGGCGCAU
rnacentral:rRNA from 1 species